GGGGAAGGAGCACCGACCUCUGCCGCCUCUCAGCUGCCGGGCCCCGGGGCAGGCGCCCGCCCUGACACUGUCCCUGCGGUACGGUGAGGAGGAAGUAAGGCACAGCCGAUGACACACACACGCGCGGGAGCAAACUUCAGGCCGUGUCUCAACCCGCGAAGCUGGAUGGGUGCUGCCGCCUGACAUCUCGGUGGAGCACGGCCGCGCCGCCUUGCUGGGACGUGACGCGGGGCACGGUGGGAAGCGCGGGGUUUAUUUUCCCCGUUUAUAACCGCGCAGUUAAAUCACACCUUUUCCUGCUUCUUUGACGGUUGCGUGUGUUCACCAAAGCUGCCAUGCUGCCUCAUGAGAGAUGCUCUUUCAAUGGCUGCAGCCUUCGUUUUCCUCUUAGAGCUGAACAGCAUCCUUCGAUUACACCAUCAUUGGUCAGUGACUUGAACUGAUUUGACACAUCAGGCGAUUUUUAUGAUGAGUCCAUCUCCUGGGAAGCUUAAAUCAUGAAGAAGGGACAUACGACUUUCCUGAACUGUAUUUCCUACUAAGCACGGUAACAGUUCUAGCAAGUAGAAAUUAAUGCCAUGCUGACUCAAAAUGAAAAGGUUCAGUUCAGCAAAGGGAAAAGAAACAGUUGGUUUGGAGAAUUUGGAUCAAUUUCCAAAAUUAAAUUUCAAAAAUUGUGCUUUAUUAGGAAAAAUAUCACCCUUACUUGUUAAAAAAAAAAAAAAAGCUAUGAAACCUGCAGGAAGUUUUUUGACCAGUUUUUUUCUUUUUGCUUCCUUGCUUUUCCAAACACCUCUUUUUUUUAAGUCUAAAAUCUCACUCUUGUUCAACCAACAGCCCUAAUUUUGUAACAGUAUUCUUGAAAUACCUACUAUGUGUAGUUUGAUUUCCAUCCAAAUAAAGCUAGGGGAAGAAAAGGGAAAACAUCUAAUAAGCAGAUUCCAUCUCUAGUUGUCUAAGUAGGAAAAGUGCAGAAAGUUAAAAUGGACUGACUGGAUUUCCACCUUGAUUUAAUAAAGAUAACUCUUUCACAAA